CUCAAACAUAACCAAACAUAUCCGGCUUCAUUCUCUCAUAAAAUGAGUGUAACUAAUUAGAAAAGCAAAAACGUUACUUUUUAUUACAAGACUGUGUUAAUGCAGUUGCUUUAGUUUGCCAUUAUUCCUUAAUAAGAGACAAUAAAAUCACCAUAAUGCAUAGAAAACAACUAUCCUCUCUGGGAUUAAACUGGAUUAAUGACGUGUUUUGUGUUUAUAGAAACAAACACAAUUUAGCAGCCACUCCUCUCAAGAGAUUUUUCUUAACCAGCAACCAGUGCUUUCAUUGGAAUGUGACAUUUUUCUUAGAUUCUUAGUGGGUUUCUGGUGAACAUAUCUGGUUUUGGUGCCCUUAAUUUAAGUGGUGAGAGAUGAUUGAAGGGGGAAAUAGAAUUUGACUUUUUCUUAGUGAAGUAAAAAAGGAAGUUCAUCCAUUGAACUGGAAGCAUUUAGUGGAGUUACUGGAAGACCAAGAUACAUGCUUGAAAAAAACAGAAAGUGCAAAGCUUCACAGAGACACAAAGAGAGAGGCAGAGACACAAGCAGAGGGAGAAGCAGGCUACAUGCAGGGAGUCCCAUGUGGGACCUGAUCCCAGGACUCCAGGAUCACUCCCAGAGCUGAAGGCAGAUGCUCAACCACUGAGCCGACCAGGUACUCCUUAGAAUUCCUUUUUUAAAAAACUGUGUUUUCAU
rnacentral:lncRNA from 1 species